rnacentral:lncRNA from 1 species
CUCUAUUCCAGCCACCCUUCUAGACUUCAGAGCACAGAAAACCUGCUUCCCAUGUCUCCAGAGGAGUUUGACGAGAUGUCCAAGAUAGUGGGCUCUGAAUUUGACAGUAUGAUGAGCGCAGUAUAAACACGAAUUUCUCUCUUCUCUGGCGACAUUUUUCUUCCCAUCUGUGAUUCCUUCCUGCUACUGUUCCUUCAUAUGCUGUAUUUCUAGGGAAAUCAAGAAAGAACAGCCCAUUUGUUGAACCCUGUUGAUAGCAAGUGGAUAUUUCUCUAAUUAGAAACCUGUUACUCUGAAGGACUUCAUGCAGCUCACUGAAGGUGAAAUGGAAAGUUACUUAUGCAAAGUGGAUUUUGUAAACAAAAAACAAGAGAGCC